GAUGAACGCUAGCUAUAGGCUUAACACAUGCAAGUCGAGGGACCAGCGCACGGGUGAGUAACGCGUAUCCAACCUACCCAUAACUAAGGGAUAACCCAGCGAAAGUUGGACUAAUACCUUAUGGUUAUGGAUGGGGAUGCGUCUGCUUAGCUUGUUGGCGGGGUAACGGCCCACCAAGGCAACGAUCAGUAGGGGUUCUGAGAGGAAGGUCCCCCACAUUGGAACUGAGACGCGGUCCAAACGCGGACGCGAGGGGGCAGUGAGGAGUAUUGUGCAAUGAACGCAAGUCUGAACGAGCCAAGUAGCGGGGAGGAGGACUGCCUAUGGGUGGUAAACUGCUUUUAUAGGGGGAUAGGUACCAGAUGGAUAAGGACCGGCUAAGUCCGUGCCAGCCGCCGCGGUAAUAC
rnacentral:rRNA from 1 species